rnacentral:piRNA from 1 species
UAGUAACGAUGAUAUUCCUCCAUUGCCU